CAGAGCAUGCAGAUAAUUAUCUGUGACACCCAUUGUACACUGUGAGCAGGUAUACAGGCCAACAGAGCAUGCAGAUAAUUAUCUGUGACACCCAUUGUACACUGUGAGCAGGUAUACAGGCCAACAGAGCAUGUAGAUAAUUAUCUGUGACACCCAUGGUGCACUGUGAGCAGGUAUACAGGCCAACAGAGCAUGCAGAUAAUUAUCUGUGACACCCAUUGUACACUGUGAGCAGGUAUACAGGCCCACAGAGCAUGCAGAUAAUUAUCUGUGACACCCAUUGUACACUGUGAGCAGGUAUACAGGCCAACAGAGCAUGCAGAUAAUUAUCUGUGACACCCAUUGUACACUGUGAGCAGGUAUACAGGCCAACAGAGCAUGUAGAUAAUUACCUGUGACACCCAUUGUACACUGUGAGCAGGUAUACAGGCCAACAGAGCAUGCAGAUAAUUAUCUGUGACACCCAUUGUACACUGUGAGCAGGUAUACAGGCCAACAGAGCAUGCAGAUAAUUAUCUGUGACGCCCAUGGUGCACUGUGAGCAGGUAUACAGGCCAACAGAGCAUGCAGAUAAUUAUCUGUGACACCCAUUGUACACUGUGAGCAGGUAUAGAGGCCAACAGAGCAUGCAGAUAAUUAUCUGUGACACCCAUGGUGCACUGUGAGCAGGUAUACAGGCCAACAGAGCAUGCAGAUAAUUAUCUGUGACACCCACUGUACACUGUGAGCAGGUAUACAGGCCCACAGAGCAUGCAGAUAAUUAUCUGUGACACCCAUUGUACACUGUGAGCAGGUAUACAGGCCCACAGAGCAUGCAGAUAAUUAUCUGUGACACCCAUUGUACACUGUGAGCAGGUAUACAGGCCAACAGAGCAUGCAGAUAAUUAUCUGUGACACCCAUUGUACACUGUGAGCAGGUAUACAGGCCCACAGAGCAUGCAGAUAAUUAUCUGUGAC